rnacentral:rRNA from 1 species
ACGGGUGAGUAACGCGUGGGAAUCUACCCAUCUCUACGGAACAACUCCGGGAAACUGGAGCUAAUACCGUAUACGUCCUUUUGGAGAAAGAUUUAUCGGAGAUGGAUGAGCCCGCGUUGGAUUAGCUAGUUGGUGGGGUAAUGGCCUACCAAGGCGACGAUCCAUAGCUGGUCUGAGAGGAUGAUCAGCCACACUGGGACUGAGACACGGCCCAGACACCUACGGGAGGCAGCAGUGGGGAAUAUUGGACAAUGGGCGCAAGCCUGAUCCAGCCAUGCCGCGUGAGUGAUGAAGGCCCUAGGGUUGUAAAGCUCUUUCAACGGUGAAGAUAAUGACGGUAACCGUAGAAGAAGCCCCGGCUAACUUUGUGCCAGCAGCCGCGGUAAUACGAAGGGGGCUAGCGUUGUUCGGAAUUACUGGGCGUAAAGCGCACGUAGGCGGAUACUUAAGUCAGGGGUGAAAUCCCGGGGCUCAACCCCGGAACUGCCUUUGAUACUGGGUAUCUCGAGUCCGGAAGAGGUGAGUGGAAUUCCGAGUGUAGAGGUGAAAUUCGUAGA